CCUACGGGUGGCAGCAGUGAGGAAUAUUGGUCAAUGGACGGAAGGCUGAACCAGCCAAGCCGCGUGAAGGACGAAGGUGCCAAGCAUUGUAAACUUCUUUUGUCAAGGGACAAAAUCAGGCUCGAGUGCCGGACUGAGGGUACCUGAAGAAAAAGCAUCGGCUAACUCCGUGCCAGCAGCCGCGGUAAUACGGAGGAUGCGAGCGUUAUCCGGAUUUAUUGGGUUUAAAGGGUGCGUAGGCGGGCUGUUAAGUCAGCGGUAAAAGUCCGGGGCUCAACCCCGGCGAGCCGUUGAAACUGGUUGUCUUGAGAGGUCGAGAGGUAGGCGGAAUGCGUGGUGUAGCGGUGAAAUGCUUAGAUAU
rnacentral:rRNA from 1 species